rnacentral:rRNA from 1 species
AUUAAACGCUGGCGGCAUGCCUUACACAUGCAAGUCGAACGGCAGCACGGGGGCAACCCUGGUGGCGAGUGGCGAACGGGUGAGUAAAGCAUCGGAACGUGCCCUGGAGUGGGGGGAUAACGUAGCGAAAGUUACGCUAAUACCGCAUAUUCUGUGAGCAGGAAAGCAGGGGAUCGCAAGACCUUGCGCUCUGGGAGCGGCCGAUGUCGGAUUAGCUAGUUGGCGGGUAAAGGCCUACCAAGGCGACGAUCCGUAGCGGGUCUGAGAGGAUGAUCCGCCACACUGGGACUGAGACACGGCCCAGACUCCUACGGGAGGCAGCAGUGGGGAAUUUUGGACAAUGGGCGAAAGCCUGAUCCAGCCAUGCCGCGUGAGUGAAGAAGGCCU